rnacentral:rRNA from 1 species
GAGUUUGAUUAUGGCUCAGGAUGAACGCUGGCGGCGUGCUUAACACAUGCAAGUCGAACGGGCGAAUUAUAUCGGAGGUCUUCGGGCCGAAGAGAUAAUAAGCUAGUGGCGGACGGGUGCGUAACGUGUGGGUAAUCUGCCUUUGUCAUAGGAAUAACUGCUUGAAAAAGUAGCUAAUACCAAAUAACAUAUCGUAUAGGCAUCUAUAAGAUAUCAAAGAGAAAUCGGACAAAGAUGAGCCCGCAUCUGAUUAGCUGGUUGGUAGGGUAAAAGCCUACCAAGGCGACGAUCAGUAGCCGGCCUGAGAGGGUGAACGGCCACAUUGGAACUGAGACACGGUCCAAACUCCUACGGGAGGCAGCAGUGGGGAAUAUUGCACAAUGGGGGGAACCCUGAUGCAGCAACGCCGCGUGAGUGAAGAAGGCUUUCGAGUCGUAAAACUCUGU